UUCCUGAAAAAUAUAUUGUAGGAAAAUAUAUAAAAUUAAUUUAAAGGCCUGUGCAAAAGUACAUUCCAUGAACUUUAUAUUACUCUCUCAAGACAAUAAUUUCAAAAGACAAGAAUUUACCUUAAUUUCUCGAAAUAAUUUAACAUGUUUGGCAAGAAGGACCUAUAUAUGUCAUUUUACCUUGGUCUUUUUGUUUCCUGUAGGUUUAUGUAAAUAGCUAUGUACGUGUGUAUGUAUACACACAACAGUGUAUCUUACUUUGAAAGAGCAGUUCUAUUCCUUGAUAAAAGCUACUUCACUGGUACUUUAUUGCAGUGUUAAGACAUCUUAGAGCAAGAUUUUUCUAUUGGUGUGUAUUGUUUUCUUUGCCUGUUUAAGGUGCAAGGGUUGGCUAACCAGAAAUACUUGCUCAUAGUCCAGCAUGUUGAUCUGUCAGGAGUAUCUGCUGCAUCUGCACACACUUUCACAGAUUUCAUUUUUACAAGUUACCUGAAGCGUGCUCACAGUGUUUGUGCUAUCUCUUGCUUCACUAUGACCCUGUUGUUUCUCCGUAACUUCUAUCCACGACCACUGUAAUUUAUGUCAAUAUUCUUGCACAAGCUAAAAGUGAAUGUUCUUGUUAUCCAAAAUGUUCUGAAUGACUCCGCUGUUUUGAAGUUCUCUGGAUAAUACCUGGAGACCUUCUGUUCCUGACCAUACCAUAAUGCCAAGUGGUGCCCAAGGAGGAGAUCUAAGCUCCUAUGGUAUGCUCAUCUGGAGAGAUCUGCUGACUCUCUGACCAUUUGAACUACUAAAGCCUUAUAUAGGGCUUGGUGAAUACUGGCUUGAAUUAUGUGGCUUUUUCAGAAGGGAGUAAAGCCUGGAGUAUGAACAUUUGUUUUGUUCUUUUGAGAGAAUAGGUUCUCUUGGACCUCUAUUCAGGUCAAAUAAUUUGUUAGUUAGUUCCUUGUGCACAUGUUUAUAUAUUGGUUUAUUCCUGAGCUCACGAACAGGUAGUUUCUCUGGUAUGUUUUCUUCUGGCUGUAUUUUCCUGAGGCAAUACAAACAAAACUGUGCCUGCUUUGGCACUUUCCACCA